ensembl:snRNA U6 U6 spliceosomal RNA
UUGCUUCAGCAGCACACAUACUAAAAUUGGAACAAUACAGAGGAGAUUAGCAUGGCCCUUGCGCAAGGAUGACACGCAAAUUCGUGAAGGAUUCCAUAUUUUC